rnacentral:rRNA from 1 species
GAUGAACGCUGGCGGCGUGCCUAAUACAUGCAAGUCGAGCGGACGGACGAGAAGCUUGCUGCUCUGAUGUUAGCGGAGGACGGGUGAGAAACACGUGGAUAACCUACCUAUAAGAGUGGGAUAACUUCGGGAAACCGUAGCUAAUACCGGAUAAUAUUUUGAACCGCAGGGUUCAAAAGUGAAAGACGGUCUUGCUGACACUUAUAGAUGGAACCGCGCUGCAUUAGCUAGUUGGUAAGGUAACGGCUUACCAAGGCAACGAUUCGUAGCCGACCUGAGGGGGUGGUCGCCCACCCUGGAGCUUGGUCGCCGUCCAGGCUCCUACGGUAGGCAGCAGUAGGGUAUCUUCCGCAAUGGUCGAAAGCCUGACGGAGCGGCGCCGCGUGUGUUAUGGCGGUCUUCCGUGCGUAAUGCUCUGUUAUUGGUGAAGAACAUAUGUGUACGUAACUGUGCACAUCUUGACGGUACCUAAUCAGAAAGCCCCGGCUAACUACGUG